ensembl:lncRNA
CUCAUAUUUGAGCAUGGAGAAAUAGGAAGUGUCCCUUUUCCCCUCUGCUCUUCCUCCAGCAGAGCAAUGUGAUCCACCGGCAAGGAAGGACUCCAAUAAGGCCUCCGAUAAGCAGAGACUAUUGGCUGUUCUAGACCUCUGCUCUCACAUAGAGAUGUGCUGUCAAGUUCCAGGGAAAUCCCCAAGAGAAUGUAGACUGGAAUUCUCUGGAGUGUUUACAUCUAUCAGUAUGUACACCACGAAUCAUCCUGUGUAUGGGUUGCCACACAGCCCUGUUUUCUAGAUCCUUCUUAAUCUAUUUUAAUGAAGCUUAUUCUUUUCUCCACAAAUUGCUUUCACAUUUUCUGCUUGGAUUUGCUUCUAUAAACAUCUUUGAGUUUUUCCACUAAAACAUACAGGUGGAUUCCUUAGGUCCUGUGAAGUAGUCUCACCGACAGAUAGAGGUCCAAAUUUCUGUUCUUAUGAGAGGAUGAACAUUGGGAUUACUCUUCCUCCAUCUUGUUCUGAGUCCUCUAUUACUACACAAUGACUGUCAUCAGUUCUAAAAGCUCAUUAUGUACUGAAUUUCCUUUUCCAUUAUAUACUUACAUAAUCAAUAUAUUUACUUUAGCUUUCUUUUUAUUUUUUUGACUUUUAUUUAUUUUUUUAUUUUGUGUGUGUAGGUGUCCUUCACAACCAGAAGAAGGCUUCAGAUAACCUGGAACUGAAUAGUUUUGAGCUACCACAUGGGUGCUGGGAAUAAAACCUGAACCUCUGGAAGAGCAGCCAUUGCUCUUUUUUUUUUUUCUUUUUUCUUUUUUUUUUUUUAAUUUGAAUUAGAAACAAGAUUGUUUUACAUAUCAAUCCCAGUUCCCACUCCCUCCUCUCCUCCCCUGCCACCCCCCCCCAACUAAAACCCUACAUAUCACAUAUCCUUUCUGCUCCCCAGGGAGGGUGAGGCCUUCCAUAACGGGUCAUCAGAAUCUAUUGUAUCCUUUGGGAUAGGGCCUAGGCCCACCCCCAUGUGUCUUGGCUCAGGGACUAUCCCUGUAUGUCAGCCAGUGCUCUUAAAAGCUCUGAGCCAUCUCUCCAGUUCUCCUUUAACUUUCUUUUGGUUUCAGUUUCCCUUCCCAUCCUUUAACAUUUUUUUCUGCCUCUUUGUUCUGGGUCUCUCCUUUCCAAACGAUGCCCACAUAGAAUUUAAUUCAUCCUGUAAUAUUGUCUUUUUACUAUAUAUGAUAUAGGUCAUUUAAACUUAUCACAACAAAUGUUAACAUAUUUGAAUUUGUUUCCACCACAGCAUCAUGUGAUCUCUGUUUAGCUUUCUUCUACCUCUCCCAAUCCUACUCCACCCUUGCCUUUUCUGAAUUGUUUUGAUUUUUUUCUUGCCUAUUCUUCAUAUUUCAAUGUUGUUUAAGUGAUUCUAGACACAUACAAUUAGCUUUGCUUUCCCCACAUAGUUAAUAGUACCUUUGUUCAUCACUCCUCUGCAGAAGGCCAUUCUUACAUAAAGGCAAGGAUUAACUACUUAUAGAACAUGUUUUUAGUAUGUCAACAGAAGACUAGAAAUAUUACUCUGCUUUAUUCUGGCUUUCAUUGUCAUUGCUAGAAAGAGGGAAUUAUUGGAACACUAGUCCUUGGAAAGCCACCAGUGUUUGCUCUUUGAUUGUUGCUUAAAUAGUAGCUUGAGAUAUAGUCCUCCUCUAAGGACUGUAAUUCAGUGGUUCCUAGUGUACAUAGUAUGCAAGCACAAUAGCCAGUUAGAAUGUUUUUUUGUUUGUUUGAUUGCUUAAGAUUUAUUUAUUUAUUAUGUAUACAGUGCUCUGCCUCAAUGUAUCCCUGCAGGCCAGAAGAGGGCACUGGAUCUCAUUAUAGAUGGUUGUGUGUCACCAUGUGAUUGUUGGGAAUUGAACUCAGGACCUCUGGAAGAGCAGCCAGUGCUCUUAACCUCUGAGCCAUCUCUACAGCCCAGCUUAGAACAUUUUUAUCACUCCCUGGUAACUUCCCCUUCUCUCCCUCCUUCUUCUUCUUCUUCUUCUUCUUCUUCUUCUUCUUCUUCUUCUUCUUCUUCUUCUUCUUCUUCUUCUCCUCCUCCUCCCCCUCCUCCUCCUCCUCCUUCCCUCCCUCCUCCUCCUCCUCCUCUGUGCCUGGGUUUAUAUGCUCUGUGAAGGGGCUUUAGCAGGCCUGAGCUUGGCAAACAUGGCAGGUCUUUGGUCUCUCCCUUACUAAACCAUAGAUUACAUUCUUAAAACUACCCUCCCCACAAGGUCUAUUCCCUUAUUUGGCCAUUUCUUCCUCCUGAGGCUGACAACCAAGGUCCAAAUGUUGAAGUCCAUCAAUCAAAUCCCCCCCUUUAGCUGCCCUGAUUAACAUGCCCAACCAAAGCUAACUCAUGCUAGCAUGGUUUUCCCCAUGUCACUUUAUAAACUUCCAUUUGCCUACAGGCUGCCACAUCUGUCUCCUCUCAAUUCAGAAGCAGUCCUUUGUCCCUCCAGGGCAAAUAUCCCAUCCCCCCCCCCCAUCUCCCUUGCUCCUUUUCUUCCUCUCUCUUGUCUAUGCCCUGUCUCUGUCCUGGGCAAAUAAAUCUCCUUUGUUCUGAGAGCUUAGUACUGGAGUGUCCUAUGCCAACUCUGGUUGUACAUCAUACAUGAAUGGAAUUACACAGUAUAAAUGGCCUUUGGUGGCUGGCUUCUCUCACUUAAGCACAACCCUUCAAAUGUUUAUUCAUAUAGAAUGCCAGUCCUCCCUCUGAUUUAUGAAUACAUAAUAUUCCUAGUUGUGUAGAUAUACUAUAUUUUGUUUAUUUGUUCAUUGGUUGAUAGGACCAUGGGUUGUUUACAAUCUGGUAUUGAUAGCUAUAAUUUUACUGUGAAUACAAAUCUUCUAGCCCUGUGGGAAUACAUGGUUUUGAAGUAUAUACUUAGACAGUAGAAUUGCAGGGUGUUUUAGUAAUUUGAUGCUUAACACUGUAAGGAUAUCUCAAACUGUUUACCAAAGUGGCUACACAAUUCUUUGAUGGAUUUUAAAUUUUUUAUUAUAAUUUGUAUCUUUCAGUUUUAUUAUUAAAUGUUUAAGUGUGGAUUUUUCCUAAUCUCUCUUGGGCAUCAUUAGAAUUUCUGGAACUAAAUAUGAUAAUUUUCUUAUUGUUUUAUGAAGGAGGGGAAAAAAAGCCUUCAGACAGUAUCUCUUCUAUGUUCUACCAGUUAUUUCCUGUGGGCUGGGAUAUAGCCCAGUUGGAAAAGUGCUUACAUGGUGAUCUGGGUUCCACCCCUAGCACAGCACAAACUGGAUAUAAAGGCACUCGCCUGCAAUCCCAGCAUUCAGGAGGGAGAGACAGAAAGGUCAAUAGUUUGAGGCCAUCCUCAAUAUAUAUAUAUAUGAGGCCAACCUGUGCUGUGGAACAAUCUUUAUAUAUUGUAAAUAUGUAUUAUUCUCAUUGGUUAAUAAAGAGCUGGCUGGCCUAUAGAUGGGCAGGAGAGAUUGGGUGGAAAAGCCAGACUAGGGUGAAGGCUGGGAUGAAGAAGGGUGAAGUCUGAGGAGUCUUGAGCUAGACACAGAGAAAGCAGGCUGUGUAGAAAAUGAAGUAACAAGCCAUGAGCCACAUGGUAGAACUUAGAUAAGAAAUAUGGGUUAAUUUAAGUUAUAAGAGCUAGUUAGUAACAAGCCUAAGCUAAUAGCCAACCAUUUAUAAUUAAUAUUAAGUCUAUGUGGUUAUUUGGGAGUUGGCUGACAGUCUCUGCCUACAAGACUGCCUCAAGAAUAUAAAAAAUAAAUAAAUAAAUAAAGUAUGCUGGCCUUUCAAUUCUAUUUCCAUCUAAUUUUUUUGUUAUUCUUUUAUUUAUCCUUUUGUUAUGUGUUCUAAUUAAUUUAUUUCUGUCUUCCAGUUUGCCAAUUUUCUCUUUAGCUUCAACACUGAUGGGGGAAGUGCUUCUGUGUAUAUGUUCCUCUUAUUAGUUAAUGAAUAAAACACUGCUUGGCUGAUUGGCCAGGCAGGAAGUGACGUAGCUGGGCAGAUUCAGAAUAUAAGCAGGGACAAACAGGAAAUUGCUCUCUCUUCUCUGUAGAGACAAUGAACCAGCCAUCAUCCUGUAGCAGGCAAAGGAGUUGCAAGUCUGGUAAACUAAGACCAUGUGCAAAUACAUGGAUUAGUAGUUAUGGGUUAAUAAUUAAGCUAGAGCUAGCCAAUAAGAAAGCAUAGCCAGCAGCUAACAGCUUUAUAACUAAUAUAGCGUCUGCAUGUUUCUUUGGGGCAGAAAAACACAGUGGGACCCUGCCAGGCCAGAAAACUCACGUUACAAAAUGGUGCCAGCAACGUGUGGCAUGAAUUUCCACAUAGAACAACAAAAGCUUAAAAGGGAUUUUAGAAACAAAAGAACAAAGACAAGCAUGGCUUCUUGGUAGCAGCAUUUUCUUGGGUGGGCUCUGUUUUGCUAGAGACAAGCAGAGACUCAUGUGGCUCCUUUAAGGGAGGUUUUCUGACUCAGCAUAAAUGGAAAAACUACAUGUCUCUUUUAAGAGACUCUGCUAACAAUUGAAUGGUGUGUUCGAGCAGCUGGUAGUGACAGUAACCACAUCGCCUAGCUGGCAGCAUGCUGCUUGAUGGCAGCAUAGACCAAGGAGCUGGGCACAGCUCUCAGUACUGGCAGUAAACAUACCUCUGCCAUCUUGGAAAGACAGUGACUAAAACAGCCUCGGCUUUAAUUUUAGCAAUGUUGUUUAGCAGAUAAAAGACUCAUGGCUAGAAAAAGAUAAAGACUUACAGUAAAGACAGAUUCAGAUGAAGUAAAACCUCUAAAAGGUUUACAGUGUGUUUAAAAAUAUACAUAGGCUUGUGAGAGAAACAGGAUAACGUGGUUAAAAAAAGAAAAGAAAAGAAAUAGAGUAUCUGGGUGUGGUGGCACACGCCUUUAAUCUCAGCACUUGGGAGACAGAAGCAAGCAGAUCUCUGUGAUUUCAAGGCCAGCUAGGUGUACAGAGUGAAUUCCUGGGCAGCCAAAGUUACACAAAAACACUUUCUCAUAAAAGGAAAAAUAAAAGUAGAAGAAAUAGAGUGAUAAUAAUAAAUAGAUAAAUAAGCCACAUAAAAAUGGAAAAUAUACAGAGAAUAUGGAUACUAUAUGAUAUUGUGUUGUCUUUGAAUUGUUUGACUGCUGAGAAAAUAGCAACAACUGCUAAAAGAAAUGCUGCUAGAUUAAUCCAAUUUAUUUAUUUUAAAAAUGCCUUGGCUUCAAAUUUUAAGUAUAAGGAUGGAUAUGUUACUUUGGAAAAGAAAUUUUAUUUGUGUUUCCACAGAAAAUGAAAAGCUGUGUAUUCCUUCCAGACUACUACGGUUUGAUGAAGCAAGACCCUUGAACCAAUGGCCAGGUGAUCCAACAUUGAAGACACCUGGGAUGCAGUCACAGACCGCUACAGCCAGGAUUUCUGGGUCUUCUUAGGAUCCUCAAGGCAGCGCCCCUGAACAAUAGGAAGUAGUUUGGAAAGCAUGACACCCACAUUGCCAAAUAUUGUUUAUAAAUGUUUGUUUUUUUAUAUGAGGUUGAUUAUAAAUGGUUAAUGAUUACAGUUAGUCUCCUAAAAAGGGGGGGGGGGUGAUGUAGAAAUGAAUACUUUGCACUUUGCAUUGUUAUGGAUUCUCAUUUGUUGAUACAAAUUUAAGGUCAAUUUUGUUAUAUGUAUAUUUCUUCUUUUGUUAUACAGCUCUUUUAAAAAUGUAAUGUAUAAUUAAAUAAGAUGAUAGUCACCUAUAAUAGUCAACUUAUGUUAAUUAGGUUUUCUAAAUAUAAAAAGAUAUUUCAAAUGGAUAGAUAUUCUUCAAACCUUUCAAAGACCUUCAGAAUAUGCCAUUCAAAAUGGUUUAAGGUUUUUCAUGACAGUGAGACACAACUGCUCCUGACACAGCAAUUACUCAGAAAGGAGGCUGGCAUUGAAGAAACUCAAAAUGGAGUUUGCCUUCAACAGGCAAGUUUAGCCAUUUGGGCAAGAAACUGCUCUUACCUGGACUCUUUCAUAGACUGGACAUGCAGGACCCACAGGAAAGUGGCUACUGAGUUUGCCAAAACAGGACAGUCCUGAAGGGUUCCUGCUUCAUGUAAGAUUCUGCCAGAUAUUCUGCAGGACACAGAAAAUUGACUGAUAAACUGACAAUGCAGGUGGACAGUUUCAAAUUUCCUGCUUUGCUGAGAAGUCUGCCAGACACACUAUGGUCAAUGUGCUGGAAGUGGAUGCCCCAACAUUUCAGAAGAACUUCAGGAGAAUGCCUGACUCACAUCCUCUCUUCCCAGGCUCCCAUGAUGACUUCUCUCUGCCUACACUUCCCAGAAUUAUCCUCGUCUCCUAGCCACACCUAUCUUCCUGCCUGGCCAAUCAGUAUUUUAUUCAUCAACCAAUAAGAGAAACAUAUACAGAAAAACAUCUCAUCACUCCUUCUGCAACUCCCUGUUCUUGGGACGUUGCUUUGUCUCACAGGACACUGCUCAUCAGCUUUGUCUUGUCCCUGCUGCUUUCUGUAGUCACCAGGCCACAUCUGGAUCAGGGGUUGUAUUUGAGAAAGGAACUAUAGACCAUCUGGACCCAACACAUACACAGAAAAUAAAAAUAAAUAUACCUCUUUG